CCUUCUAGAUGCAUAGAAGUUCAUAUCCUUGAAGUAAGGAGUCAAUAGCCUGUGUUUGGAUGACUAACAAUGGUUGGAAUUGUUGUUAAUAGUUUCGGCUCUUACUUUCCACAUUUCCCUGGAGAUCUUCCAUAAGGCAGAGGAUUUGGAGGUGAAUACAAAACAAGCAUCCUAGACUUUCCAGUGCCCAAGGAGACAGGGAAGAUCACGGUGAAGCAGGUGACUUGGAUGAGGAAGAUGAAGAUGAUGACAAAGACGAUAAUUUGGAUAAGCACCCCG